rnacentral:rRNA from 1 species
AGCCGCGGUAAUACGUAGGGCGCAAGCGUUAUCCGGAAUUAUUGGGCGUAAAGAGCUCGUAGGCGGUUUGUCGCGUCUGCUGUGAAAGGCCAGGGCUCAACCCUGGUUCUGCAGUGGGUACGGGCAGACUUGAGUGAUGUAGGGGAGACUGGAAUUCCUGGUGUAGCGGUGAAAUGCGCAGAUAUCAGGAGGAACACCGAUGGCGAAGGCAGGUCUCUGGGCAUUAACUGACGCUGAGGAGCGAAAGCAUGGGGAGCGAACAGGAUUAGAUACCCUGGUAGUCCAUGCCGUAAACGUUGGGCACUAGGUGUGGGGGACAUUCCACGUUUUCCGCGCCGUAGCUAACGCAUUAAGUGCCCCGCCUGGGGAGUACGGCCGCAAGGCUAAAACUCAAAGGAAUUGACGGGGGCCCGCACAAGCGGCGGAGCAUGCGGAUUAAUUCGAUGCAACGCGAAGAACCUUACCAAGGCUUGACAUGGACCGGAUCGCAUCAGAGAUGGUGUUUCCCUUCGGGGCUGGUUCACAGGUGGUGCAUGGUUGUCGUCAGCUCGUGUCGUGAGAUGUUGGGUUAAGUCCCGCAACGAGCGCAACCCUCGUUCCAUGUUGCCAGCGCGUAAUGGCGGGGACUCAUGGGAGACUGCCGGGGUCAACUCGGAGGAAGGUGGGGACGACGUCAAAUCAUCAUGCCCCUUAUGUCUUGGGCUUCACGCAUGCUACAAUGGCCGGUACAAAGGGUUGCGAUACUGUGAGGUGGAGCUAAUCCCAAAAAGCCGGUCUCAGUUCGGAUUGGGGUCUGCAACUCGACCCCAUGAAGUUGGAGUCGCUAGUAAUCGCAGAUCAGCAACGCUGCGGUGAAUACGUUCCCGGGCCUUGUACACACCGCCCGU